CCAGUGGCUUGCCAUUUCCUCCUCUAGGCAAUCUUCCUGAACUCAUGUCUCCUGCAUCACAAGCGGAUUCUUUACCACUGUGCCACCUGGGAAGCUUUUCAACUACAAGGAAGGCUAGAAAUGCAUGCCUCUGACUUUUUGUCUUUUACGGAAAAGAAAAUUUUAGGAUUGAUCGGAUCUAUGUCCUAUGUGGGAGUGAGUUACAGUGAUCAGCAGCCCUUCUGGAGGGGGACAUGGCAACCCACUCCAGCAUUCUUGCCUGGAGAACCCCAUGGACAGAGGAACCUGAAGAGCUGCAGUCUAUAGGGUCACAAAGAAUUGGACACAACUGAAACGACCUAGCACGCGCUAGAAUCAUUUGGAAGGGAGAGUGUUAUUUGUCCAGAGCAAGGGAUGCUGGAUACAUCAACAACUGGAUUUUCCUCUUCAUUACAUCACGUUGAGGUAGCUGAGACUACUAUUAUCCCUCAUACACAGACAGCAGCAACAUGAAAUGCUCACAUCAUCUGACCCAAUCCCUUAAAAACAAG
ensembl:lncRNA